ACUGCUCAGUAACACGUGGACAACCUACCCUUUAGGCCUGGGAUAAACCUGGGAAACUGGGUAUAAUACCGGAUAGGUCUCGGAUGCUGGAAUGCAUCGAGGCUGAAAGCUCCGGCGCCUAAGGAUGGGUCUGCGGCCUAUCAGGGUAGUAGUGGGUGUAAUGUACCUACUAGCCUACGACGGGUACGGGUCGUGAGAGCGAGAGCCCGGAGAUGAAUUCUGAGACACGAAUCCAGGCCCUACGGGGUGCAGCAGGCGCGAAAACUUUACAAUGCUGGAAACAGCGAUAGGGGGACUUUGAGUGCCAGGAUACAAUUCUGGCUGUCGUCGUGCCUAAAAAGCACGGUAUAGCAAGGGCCUGGCAAGACCGGUGCCAGCCGCCGCGGUAACUCCGGCGGCUCGAGUGGUAACCGCUAUUAUUGGGUCUAAAGGGUCUGUAGCCGGCUGAAAAAGUCUCUUGGGAAAUCUGGCUGCUCAACAGUCAGGCUUUCAGGAGAUACUCUUCGGCUCGAGACCGGGAGAGGUGAGAGGUACUUCAUGGGUAGGGGUGAAAUCUUGUAAUCCUUGAAGGACCACCAGUGGCGAAGGCGUCUCACCAGAACGGAUCUGACGGCAAGGGACGAAAGCUAGGGGCACGAACCGGAUUAGAUACCCGGGUAGUCCUAGCCGUAAACGAUACUCGCUAGGUGUCGGCCACGGUGCGACCGUGGUCGGUGCCGUAGGGAAGCCGUGAAGCGAGCCACCUGGGAAGUACGGCCGCAAGGCUGAAACUUAAAGGAAUUGGCGGGGGGAGCAC
rnacentral:rRNA from 1 species